UACGGGGGGAGCAAGCGUUGUUCGGAUUUACUGGGCGUAAAGGGCGCGUAGGCGGUCAGCACAAGUCAGUUGUGAAAUCUCCGGGCUUAACUCGGAAAGGUCAACUGAUACUGUGCGACUAGAGUGCGGAAGGGGCAACUGGAAUUCUCGGUGUAGCGGUGAAAUGCGUAGAUAUCGAGAGGAACACCUGCGGCGAAGGCGGGUUGCGGGGCCGACACUGACGCUGAUGCGCGAAAGCCAGGGGAGCGAACGGG
rnacentral:rRNA from 1 species